UGGGGAAUUUUGGACAAUGGGCGAAAGCCUGAUCCAGCAAUGCCGCGUGUGUGAAGAAGGCCUUCGGGUUGUAAAGCACUUUUGUCCGGAAAGAAAUCCUUGGCUCUAAUACAGUCGGGGGAUGACGGUACCGGAAGAAUAAGCACCGGCUAACUACGUGCCAGCAGCCGCGGUAAUACGUAGGGUGCAAGCGUUAAUCGGAAUUACUGGGCGUAAAGCGUGCGCAGGCGGUUUGCUAAGACCGAUGUGAAAUCCCCGGGCUCAACCUGGGAACUGCAUUGGUGACUGGCAGGCUAGAGUAUGGCAGAGGGGGGUAGAAUUCCACGUGUAGCAGUGAAAUGCGUAGAGAUGUGGAGGAAUACCGAUGGCGAAGGCAGCCCCUGGGCCAAUACUGACGCUCAUGCACGAAAGCGUGGGGAGCAAACAGGAUUAGAUACCCUGGUAGUCCACGCCCUAAAACGAUGUCAACUAGUUGUUGGGGAUUCAUUCCUUAGUAACUAGCUAACGCGUGAAGUUGACCGCCU
rnacentral:rRNA from 1 species